CAGGCCUAACACAUGCAAGUCGAGCGGUAUUUGUCUUUCGGGACAGAGAGAGCGGCGUACGGGUGCGGAACACGUGUGCAACCUGCCUUUAUCAGGGGGAUAGCCUUUCGAAAGGAAGAUUAAUACCCCAUAAUAUAAGAGACGGCAUCGUUUUUUAUUGAAAACUCCGGUGGAUAGAGAUGGGCACGCGCAAGAUUAGAUAGUUGGUAGGGUAACGGCCUACCAAGUCAGUGAUCUUUAGGGGGCCUGAGAGGGUGAUCCCCCACACUGGUACUGAGACACGGACCAGACUCCUACGGGAGGCAGCAGUGAGGAAUAUUGGACAAUGGGUUAGCGCCUGAUCCAGCCAUCCCGCGUGAAGGACGACGGCCCUAUGGGUUGUAAACUUCUUUUGUACAGGGAUAAACCUUUCCACGUGUGGGAAGCUGAAGGUACUGUACGAAUAAGCACCGGCUAACUCCGUGCCAGCAGCCGCGGUAAU
rnacentral:rRNA from 1 species